AGCAAGUCUGCGUUGCUCUGGGUCGGUCCUUGUUGAGCCGCGGGGGUUGGUGAGGAGGUCGGCGGGCAGAAGAGCACGUGAAGAUCAUACUGAGAAUCGCAAGGCUCACCGAGGGGUCCUCUGUCUGCCAUCCUCUUGCCAUGCCACAUGAUUGGACGAGUGGAGUCUCCUGAUCUUCGCCUGGGAACCUCUCAACUGUCUGCGAAUUUUGCUCUGGGAGAAAACAAGCCAAUGGGGCCAGCGUUGUGGUGUGGCCACCUGUGACGCCAGCAUCCCAUCCGGGUGCCCGUUUAAUUCCAGGCUCCUCCAAUUCUGAUCCAGCUCCCUGCUAAGGGGUCUCGGAGGGCAGAAGAGGACGGCUCAGGUCCUUGGGCCCCUGCUACCCACGUGGAAGAUCCAGAGGACGUUCCUGGCUCCUAGUUUUCAACCAGCUCAGUUCGCAAUGUUUGGAGUGGA